rnacentral:rRNA from 1 species
AUUGAACGCUGGCGGCAGGCCUAACACAUGCAAGUCGAACGGUAACACGAUGCGGCUUGGUGCUUCGCUGAGGCGUGGCGGACGGGUGAGAAAUGUAUGGCAAGCUCUCUGAUUUCGGGGGAUAUCACCUGGGAACGGUUACUACUACAGCGUAUUGUCGCAAGACGUAAGAGGGGGAGAUUCUCGCAUCUUGCCAGCGUGUGUGCGCAGAUGGCAUUAGCUGGUUGGUGGGGUAACGACUCACACAGGCGACGAGCUCUAGCUGGUCUGAGAGGAUGACCAGCCACACUGGAACUGAGACACGGUCCAGACUCCUACGGGAGGCAGCAGUGGGGAAUAUUGCACAAUGGGCGCAAGCCUGAUCCAGCCAUGCCGCGUGUGUGAAGAAGGCCUUCGGGUUGUAAAGUACUUUUGUCGGGGAGGAAAAGCAGAAGGUUAAUACCUCGCCUCACUGACGUUACCCGCAGAAGAAGCACCGGCUAACUUCGUG